GACGAACGCUGGCGGCGUGCUUAACACAUGCAAGUCGAACGAAGAGCGAUGGAAGCCUGCUUCUAUCAAUCUUAGUGGCGAACGGGUGAGUAACGCGUAAUCAACCUGCCCUUCAGAGGGGGACAACAGUUGGAAACGACUGCUAAUACCGCAUACGAUCUGACCUCGGCAUCGAGGAUAGAUGAAAGGUGGCCUCUACAUGUAAGCUAUCACUGAAGGAGGGGAUUGCGUCUGAUUAGCUAGUUGGAGGGGUAACGGCCCACCAAGGCGAUGAUCAGUAGCCGGUCUGAGAGGAUGAACGGCCACAUUGGGACUGAGACACGGCCCAGACUCCUACGGGAGGCAGCAGUGGGGAAUCUUCCGCAAUGGACGAAAGUCUGACGGAGCAACGCCGCGUGAGUGAUGACGGCCUUCGGGUUGUAAAGCUCUGUUAAUCGGGACGAAAGGCCUUUUUGCGAAUAGUGAGAAGGAUUGACGGUACCGGAAUAGAAAGCCACGGCUAACUACGUG
rnacentral:rRNA from 1 species